rnacentral:rRNA from 1 species
GAUGAACGCUGGCGGCGUGCCUAAUACAUGCAAGUCGAGCGGACGGACGAGGAUCUUGCGUGUCUGAUGUUAGCGGCGGACGGGUGAGUCACACGUGUAUACCCUACCUAUAAGACUGGUAUAACUUCGGGAAACCGGAUCUAACACCGGAUAAGAUUUUGAACCGCGGGGUUCAUAGGUGAAAGUCGGUCUUGCUGUCACUUAUAGCUGGUUCCCGGCUGGUUUGGCUAGUUGUUACGUUAACGGCUUACCAAGGCUACGAUGCGUAGCCGACCUGAGAGGGUGAUCGGCGACCCGGGAGCUGAGACACGGUCCAGAGUCCUACGGGAGGCAGCAGUAGGGAAUCUUCCGCAAAGGGCGAAAGCCUGACAGAGCAACGCCGAGUGAGUGAUGAAGGUCUUCGGAUCGUAAAACUCUGUUAUUAGGGAAGAACCGAUGUGUAAGUAAAUGUGCACAUCUUGACGGUACCUAAUCAGAAAGCAACGGCUAACUACGUG